AGUACGCAAUUAUGAGGGUCCACGCUCUCUCCUCUAUAUAAAGCCCGGCUCCUCAGCGCAAUCCCAGUUGCUCCAAGAACUGAGGGACACACAGCACACUGGCCGGCGCCUUUCCCACUCUGCGCGGUUUACCGGCCCCUACUUCCUAACUACAAGCCCAGAACCUCCGUCCUAAGAAAAAAGAAGAGACUGAAGAGUUACCAUGAGCAUCUUUUUGUUCCUAAAGCUGUGGUGAUCUUAGCUGCAAAGUGUGAGCCAAAAGAGCCAGGGCUAGCAUGAAGUCAUGAGGAGUAAAGUGUGCCUAUCUCUCUCAACCUGAGAUAGACACAAGUAUAAAAAGCUUAAUUGCAGAGUUCAAAUCAUGAAGAACAGAAAGCCAAACACAGGAAACCAGGUAUAAACUAAAAUUCCAAAGGGUA
rnacentral:lncRNA from 1 species